rnacentral:rRNA from 1 species
UAGUCCACACAGUAAACGAUGAAUACUCGCUGUUUGCGAUAUACAGUAAGCGGCCAAGCGAAAGCAUUAAGUAUUCCACCUGGGGAGUACGCCGGCAACGGUGAAACUCAAAGGAAUUGACGGGGGCCCGCACAAGCGGAGGAACAUGUGGUUUAAUUCGAUUCAACGCGAAAAACCUUACCAGGGCCUGACAUAAAAGUGACGAGGGAUAGAGAUAUUCCUCUUCCCUUCGGAGA